AACGAACGCUGGCGGCAUGCCUAACACAUGCAAGUCGAACGAGACCUUCGGGUCUAGUGGCGCCCGGGUGCGUAACGCGUGGGAACCUGCCCUUAGGUUCGGAAUAACUCCCCGAAAGGGGUGCUAAUACCGGAUAAUGUCUUCGGACCAAAGAUUUAUCGCCCUUGGAUGGGCCCGCGUUGGAUUAGCUAGUUGGUAGGGUAAAAGCCUACCAAGGCGACGAUCCAUAGCUGGUCUGAGAGGAUGAUCAGCCACACUGGGACUGAGACACGGCCCAGACUCCUACGGGAAGCAGCAGUGGGGAAUAUUGGACAAGGGGCGAAAGCCUGAUCCAGCAAUGCCGCGUGAGUGAUGAAGGCCUGAGGGUUGUAAAGCUCUUUUACCCGGGAUGAUAAUGACAGUACCGGGAGAAUAAGCUCCGGCUAACUCCGUG
rnacentral:rRNA from 1 species